CAAUUAAAAGUUGUUUUGAUGGCGUUUCACUUCAAGUCGAACAAAAAGCAAAACGGGCACGACUAUUUAGUUUAAUUGUACUUAGCAAUAAAUUGCAACUUUUGCAUCCAGAAGCAGCUUUUCAAUUGGCUUUUAAAAAUUUUUUCUAAACGUAGCAAUGCUUUACCAGAUAGUUACAAUUUGUCUUUUUGCAACUGAGACAUUUGCUGCUGGAGCGUAUGCUGUAGCAAAUCCCCAAUUUGGCUUCGGGGGAGCAGGAGCAAGAGCAGGAGUUGGAGUAGGUGGUUUUGAUCCCUUUCAAUUUGUUCAAAACCAAAUGGGGCAAUUUUUUCCAGG